CGGGACGUGGUGCAAUGGACAGCACGGCAGUUUCCUAAACCGACGAUGCAGGUUCGAUUCCUGCCGUCCCGGCCA
rnacentral:tRNA from 1 species